rnacentral:rRNA from 1 species
GACGAACGCUGGCGGCGUGCUUAACACAUGCAAGUCGAACGGAAAGGCCUCUUUCGGGGGGUACUCGAGUGGCGAACGGGUGAGUAACACGUGAGUAACCUGCCCUUGACUUCGGGAUAAAUUCAGGAAACUGGGGCUAAUACCGGAUAGGAGAUCCUGCUGCAUGGUGGGGGUUGGAAAGUUUCGGCGGUUGGGGAUGGACUCGCGGCGUAUCAGCUUGUUGGUGGGGUAGUGGCUUACCAAGGCUUUGACGGGUAGCCGGCCUGAGAGGGUGACCGGCCACAUUGGGACUGAGAUACGGCCCAGACUCCUACGGGAGGCAGCAGUGGGGAAUAUUGCACAAUGGGUGGAAGCCUGAUGCAGCAACGCCGUGGGCGGGAUGACGGCCUUCGGGUUGUAAACCGCUUUCGCUCAUGACGAAGCUUUGUGUGACGGUAGUGGGUAAAGAAGCACCGGCUAACUACGUG